UUGGUAUAAAAACACAGGUUCAAAUCCCAUGACCAUCAUGGAGGCUUUUUGCUUAGGAAAAAAUAUAUUUUUGAUUUUUGAUCACACAUGAAAUGUGUCUGAGAACUUUAUACAGAUUAUUCUACAACUUUAUAGUCUAUGCUAUGAAGAUAUUGUUCUUGAGCUGGACUUAAGCAAAUAAAUAAAUACAAACCUACAUCUAAUGUGCAAGCUUGGCACAUCAAUAAAGAUUAAAUUAUUAAAUAAUAAUAGAUAACAAAGAGAUUACACUACUAAUGUAGUCAAUUUUCUUCAAAUAACACCUCUUCAAAGUUCAAUCAACCAGUUUGUAUUCCAUUCUAUUCUUUAUGAUAUGCAUUUUUUGAGACUUCACUCAAAUUUUAAUUAAUCUAGUAAUUAUAAAUUAAAUCACCUAAUCUUCAAUUAAAUCAUCAUUUGUAGUUUAGAAAGAUCUAAUUUCAAUUGUAUAUAUAUGGUUGAAGAAAUUAUAAAUUCCCAAAAA
rnacentral:lncRNA from 1 species